GUUGUAUGGUUAAGUGACUAAGCGUAGACGGUGGAUGCCUUGGCAGUCAGAGGCGAUGAAGGACGUACUAACCUGCGAAAAGCGAUGGUGAGCUGGUAAGAAGCAUUUGAGCCAUCGAUGUCCGAAUGGGGAAACCCACCUGCAUAAGCAGRUAUCUUAGYGURAAUACAUAGCGCUAAGAGGCGAACUCGGGGAACUGAAACAUCUAAGUACCCGAAGGAAAAGAAAUCAAUUGAGAUUCCGGCAGUAGCGGCGAGCGAACCCGGAGCAGCCCUUAAGCGGCUUAGGCGUUAGGUGAACAGGUUGGAAAACCUGGCAAUAAAGGGUGAUAGCCCCGUAACCGACGGCGCCUUAGMCGUGAAAACGAGUAGGACGGGACACGUGAUAUCUUGUCUGAACAUGGGGGGACCAUCCUCCAAGGCUAAAUACUCCUGACUGACCGAUAGUGAACCAGUACCGUGAGGGAAAGGCGAAAAGAACCCCUGUGAGGGGAGUGAAAUAGAACCUGAAACCGUCUACGUACAAGCAGUGGGAGCCUCCUUKKKGGGGUGACCGCGUACCUUUUGUAUAAUGGGUCAGCGACUUAAUGUUAGUAGCAAGGUUAACCGCAUAGGGGAGCCGUAGGGAAACCGAGUCUUAACUGGGCGAGUAGUUGCUAGCAUUAGACCCGAAACCGAGUGAUCUAGCCAUGGGCAGGUUGAAGGUUGAGUAACAUCAACUGGAGGACCGAACUCACUAACGUGGUAGCGCCUCGGACGAAUACUACUGGGGGUAGAGCACUGUUAAGGCUAGGGGGUCAUCCCGACUUACCAACCCUUUGCAAACUCCGAAUACCAGUAAGUACUAUCCGGGAGACACACGGCGGGUGCUAACGUCCGUCGUGGAGAGGGAAACAACCCAGACCGCCAGCUAAGGUCCCCAAGUUAUCGCUAAGUGGGAAACGAUGUGGGAAGGCUCAGACAGCCAGGAUGUUGGCUUAGAAGCAGCCAUCAUUUAAAGAAAGCGUAAUAGCUCACUGGUCGAGUCGGCCUGCGCGGAAGAUGUAACGGGGCUAAGCGAUACACCGAAGCUGCGGCAAUGUCCUUAUGGAUAUUGGGUAGGGGAGCGUUGUGUAAGCUGUUGAAGGUGUGCUGAGAGGCAUGCUGGAGGUAUCACAAGUGCGAAUGCUGACAUGAGUAACGAUAAAGGGGGUGAAAAACCUCCUCGCCGGAAGACCAAGGGUUCCUGUCCAACGUUAAUCGGGGCAGGGUAAGUCGGCCCCUAAGGCGAGGCCGAAAGGCGUAGUCGAUGGGAAACGGGUUAAUAUUCCCGUACUGCUGCUUACUGCGAUGGGGGGACGGAGAAGGCUAGGUGGGCCUGGCGAUGGUUGUCCAGGUUCAAGUGCGUAGGCUGAUUUCUUAGGCAAAUCCGGGAAAUCAAGGCCGAGACACGAUGUCGAGCCACCAAGGUGGUGAAGUCAUUGAUGCCAUGCUUCCGGGAAAAGCCUCUAAGCUUCAGGUAAGUAGCAACCGUACUCCAAACCGACACAGGUGGUCGGGUAGAGAAUACCAAGGCGCUUGAGAGAACUCGGGUGAAGGAACUAGGCAAAAUGGUACCGUAACUUCGGGAGAAGGUACGCUGCCCGCGGUGAAGUCCCUUGCGGAUGGAGCUAUGGGCAGUCGCAGAUACCAGGUGGCUGCAACUGUUUAUUAAAAACACAGCACUGUGCAAAAUCGAAAGAUGACGUAUACGGUGUGACGCCUGCCCGGUGCCGGAAGGUUAAUUGAUGUGGUUAUCGCAAGAGAAGCCAUUGAUUGAAGCCCCGGUAAACGGCGGCCGUAACUAUAACGGUCCUAAGGUAGCGAAAUUCCUUGUCGGGUAAGUUCCGACCUGCACGAAUGGCGUAAUGAUGGCCACGCUGUCUCCACCCGAGACUCAGUGAAAUUGAAAUCGCAGUGAAGAUGCUGUGUACCCGCGGCUAGACGGAAAGACCCCGUGAACCUUUACUACAGCUUGGCACUGAACAUUGAGCCUACAUGUGUAGGAUAGGUGGGAGGCUUUGAAGCGGCGACGCCAGUUGYYGUGGAGCCAUCCUUGAAAUACCACCCUUGUAUGUUUGAUGUUCUAACUUAGCCCCGUUAUCCGGGGUGAGGACAGUGCCUGGUGGGUAGUUUGACUGGGGCGGUCUCCUCCCAAAGYGUAACGGAGGAGCACGAAGGUGGGCUAAUCACGGUCGGACAUCGUGAGGUUAGUGCAAUGGCAUAAGCCCGCUUAACUGCGAGAGUGACGGCUCGAGCAGGUACGAAAGUAGGUCAUAGUGAUCCGGUGGUUCUGAAUGGAAGGGCCAUCGCUCAACGGAUAAAAGGUACUCCGGGGAUAACAGGCUGAUACCGCCCAAGAGUUCAUAUCGACGGCGGUGUUUGGCACCUCGAUGUCGGCUCAUCACAUCCUGGGGCUGAAGUCGGUCCCAAGGGUAUGGCUGUUCGCCAUUUAAAGUGGUACGCGAGCUGGGUUUAGAACGUCGUGAGACAGUUCGGUCCCUAUCUGCCGUGGGCGUUGGAUGAUUGAGGGGAGCUGCUCCUAGUACGAGAGGACCGGAGUGGACGAACCGCUGGUGUUCGGGUUGUGUCGCCAGACGCAUUGCCCGGUAGCUAAGUUCGGCACAGAUAAGCGCUGAAAGCAUCUAAGCGCGAAGCUGGCCCCGAGAUGAGUCAUCCCUAGAGCUUCGAGCUCUCUAAAGGGUUGUCGAUAAGCGCUGAAAGCAUCUAAGCGCGAAGCUGGCCCCGAGAUGAGUCAUCCCUAGAGCUUCGAGCUCUCUAAAGGGUUGUUCUAGACUAGAACGUUGAUAGGCAGGGUGUGUAAGCGCUGUGAGGCGUUGAGCUAACCUGUACUAAUUGCCCGUGAGGCUUAACCAUACAACACCCAAG
rnacentral:rRNA from 1 species